UACGUAGGGGGCAAGCGUUAUCCGGAUUUACUGGGUGUAAAGGGAGCGUAGGUGGCAUGGUAAGCCAGAAGUGAAAACCCGGGGCUCAACCCCGCGGAUUGCUUUUGGAACUAUCAGGCUGGAGUGCUGGAGGGGUAAGCGGAAUUCCUAGUGUAGCGGUGAAAUGCGUAGAUAUUAGGAGGAACACCGGUGGCGAAAGCGGCUCUUUGGCCUGUAACUGACACUGAGGCUCGAAAGCGUGGGGAGCAAACAGG
rnacentral:rRNA from 1 species